GAUCAACGCUGGCGGCGUGCAUAACACAUGCAAGUCGAACGAUGAAGAUUAAAAGAUUUCUUCGGAAUGAACUUAAUUGGAUUAGUGGCGGACGGGUGAGUAACGCGUGAGUAACCUGCCUUGUACAAGGGGAUAGCCGUUGGAAACGACGAAUAAUACCCUAUGACAUCAAAUAAUCGCAUGAUAAUUUGAUCAACGAUUUAUCGGUAUAAGAUGGACUCGCGUCUGAUUAGCUAGUUGGUAGAGUAAAAGCCUACCAAGGCAACGAUCAGUAGCCGGCUUGAGAGAGUGUACGGCCACAUUGGGACUGAGACACGGCCCAGACUCCUACGGGAGGCAGCAGUGGGGAAUUUUGCACAAUGGGGGAAACCCUGAUGCAGCGACGCCGCGUGAUUUAGAAGGCCUUCGGGUUGUAAAAAUCUUUUGUAUGGGAAGAAAAUGACAGUACCAUACGAAUAAGGACCGGCUAAUUACGUG
rnacentral:rRNA from 1 species